rnacentral:lncRNA from 1 species
GAAUUUAUUCAGAAUAUAUAGGGAGUUAGGUUUGGACUCUUUGGACAAAGCGUAGGAGAGGAGACUGGAAAUUGGUGUAUAGCGCUUGUACUCCCUAGUAGGAACUUACUUGGGAAUUUCAGAUGUGCCGUCGGCAAUGGCGACAAAGAUCGGCGGCAGCAAGAAGAAGAUAGAAACAAAGCAAUAGAGAUUUUAGAAAUUUAGGGCUAGAGUG